rnacentral:rRNA from 1 species
AUUGAACGCUGGCGGCAUGCUUUACACAUGCAAGUCGAACGGUAACAGGCCGCAAGGUGCUGACGAGUGGCGAACGGGUGAGUAAUGCAUCGGAACGUGCCCAGUCGUGGGGGAUAACUACUCGAAAGAGUAGCUAAUACCGCAUACGAUCUAUGGAUGAAAGCGGGGGACCGUAAGGCCUCGCGCGAUUGGAGCGGCCGAUGUCAGAUUAGGUAGUUGGUGGGGUAAAGGCUCACCAAGCCAACGAUCUGUAGCUGGUCUGAGAGGACGGCCAGCCACACUGGGACUGAGACACGGCCCAGACUCCUACGGGAGGCAGCAGUGGGGAAUUUUGGACAAUGGGCGCAAGCCUGAUCCAGCAAUGCCGCGUGCAGGAAGAAGGCCUUCGGGUUGUAAACUGCUUUUGUACGGAACGAAACGGCUCUGGUUAAUACCCGGGGCUAAUGACGGUACCGUAAGAAUAAGCACCGGCUAACUACGU